AAACAGUAAGCUCAUAUCAAGUAUCUAUCAGGCUAUUCACUUCUCCACUACUGAACCACCAACUGCUAUCAUCAACCCAACCGGCUUCAAACAGUAAGCUCAUAUCAAGUAUCUAUCAGGCUAUUCACUUCUCCACUACUGAACCACCAACUGCUAUCAUCAACCCA